UGGUGUUGCAACACAACAGUGUUUUAUGUA
rnacentral:piRNA from 1 species